rnacentral:rRNA from 1 species
UACAGAGGGGGCAAGCGUUGUUCGGAAUUACUGGGCGUAAAGGGCGCGUAGGCGGCCAGCCAAGUCAGGGGUGAAAUCGUCCGGCUCAACCGGACAAGUGCUUCUGAUACUGGCGGGCUGGAGGGAGGUAGGGGCAGACGGAACUUCCGGUGGAGCGGUGAAAUGCGUAGAUAUCGGAAGGAACGCCGGUGGCGAAAGCGGUCUGCUGGAUCUCUUCUGACGCUGAGGCGCGAAAGCCAGGGGAGCAAACGGG